ACGGCUCAGUAACACGUGGAUAACCUGCCCUUGGGUCCGGCAUAACCCCGGGAAACUGGGGAUAAUUCCGGAUAACGCACAUAUGCUGGAAUGCUUUAUGCGUAAAAUGGAUUCGUCUGCCCAAGGAUGGGUCUGCGGCCUAUCAGGUAGUAGUGGGUGUAAUGUACCUACUAGCCAACAACGGGUACGGGUUGUGAGAGCAAGAGCCCGGAGAUGGAUUCUGAGACAUGAAUCCAGGCCCUACGGGGCGCAGCAGGCGCGAAAACUUUACAAUGCGGGAAACCGUGAUAAGGGGACACCGAGUGCCAGCGUCAUACGCUGGCUGUCCAGGUGUGUAAAAUACACCUGUUAGCAAGGGCCGGGUAAGACCGGUGCCAGCCGCCGCGGUAACACCGGCGGCCCGAGUGGUGAUCGUGAUUAUUGGGUCUAAAGGGUCCGUAGCCGGUUUGGUCAGUCCUCCGGGAAAUCUGAUAGCUCAACUAUUAGGCUUUCGGGGGAUACUGCCAGACUUGGAACCGGGAGAGGUAAGAGGUACUACAGGGGUAGGAGUGAAAUCUUGUAAUCCCUGUGGGACCACCUGUGGCGAAGGCGUCUUACCAGAACGGGUUCGACGGUGAGGGACGAAAGCUGGGGGCACGAACCGGAUUAGAUACCCGGGUAGUCCCAGCCGUAAACGAUGCUCGCUAGGUGUCAGGCAUGGCGCGACCGUGUCUGGUGCCGCAGGGAAGCCGUGAAGCGAGCCACCUGGGAAGUACGGCCGCAAGGCUGAAACUUAAAGGAAUUGGCGGGGGAGCAC
rnacentral:rRNA from 1 species